AGCAGAGCACUAACACCAUCAGGUAGAAACUUAAACAACAUGGCGGUAACUAUAAAUAUUAGGGGAACUUACCAUAUAAAUGAUAACCCCCACGUAAACUAACUUUAAGUAAUAUUUUGUAUGCCGCCGUCGUCAGGUAAAAUUUAAAAUCUUUACCUUAAAAUUAUCUAUAAAAAGACAGGUCAAGGUGCAAACAAUCUUAAAGAUAUGGCGAGUUACAUUAGCAAUUUACUUCCAUACGGCAUGGAAAACCUUCUACUGGGCGGACUUAAAAGUAAGGUAUAAUAAACUUAUUAACUGAAUAUAUGUGUA
rnacentral:rRNA from 1 species